GAGUGUGGGUGGGUAGGUGGGUGUGAUCGAGUGAGGGCGUGGGUCUGGAAGCGUCCGCCAGACUGUGCGACUGUCGCUGCCUUGCCUUCCCCGCCCCCUCUCCCUUUCCCCCUUCUCUCCCCCCUGUUGCCACACUCCUUAGAUAGGAACUGGGCGACCUAGAACGAGGUUCCCAUCCCAUCUUUUAAAAAGCAAAACUUAGUCUCUGUUUUGCUUUUUGUUUCAUUGCUUUUAGCUUUAAAGAGUAAGAGCUGCGCGCCCGGCUCGCUCUUGCUAAUUAGACUUCAGAUCCCCCAUCCGGCCUCAGUGCUCAAUUCCGGGGAAGACACCUGCUGAGAUGUCUUUUUCCCCCUCCCCCAACCAAACCACUCUAGUCCUGCCUGUGCUUUCCCGGCUUGAUGCAGGCAUGUUUUUUCUCUAUGCAUUUUUUCGUGCGACAACAAACAGCAUCAGCUGGGGUUCCCGAAGGUCAGAAAAUGGCUAUUGAUUAAUCUAUUAGAAUAGUUGCCGAGAGAAACAAAAACGACGUAAAAUAACAGGGAACCUAUAAAUAAAGAAGCCAUAACUGGCUACUUGGAGUUGUUAAACGACUUAGCAUAUGAAAAAAUCGGAAAUGAGGCGCUGGGAAAGGAGCCGGGAUUGGCGGCGGCCUGGGGUGUAGACAAAUCCUCCAAGAUUUAACUUCCGAGGAAACCGUCGGCAGAGCGGGUGGAGGAGGCGAGGAUGUGUGGCCAGUGCACGCGGAGUGCAAUGCAAGUCAGUGAUGGCCGCCUAGUUGGGAGCAGCAAGAGCCUG